rnacentral:snRNA from 1 species
AAUUGUAAGUGCCAGGGGAGAUACCAUGAUCACAAAGGUGGUUUUCCCAGGGUGAGGCUUAUCCAUUGCACUCUGGAUGUGCUGACCCCUGCAAUUUCCCCAAAUGUGGGAAACUCAACUGCAUAAUUUGUGGUAGUGGGGGACUGCGUUCACACUCUCCCUUG